rnacentral:rRNA from 1 species
UCGAACGGGGUUAUCAUUUUUGAAGCGAUUAGCUUGCUAAGAGUGGAAAAGUUGAUAACUUAGUGGCGGACGGGUGAGUAACGCGUGGGUAACCUGCCUUACACAGGGGGAUAACACUUAGAAAUAGGUGCUAAUACCGCAUAAGCGCACAGUCCCGCAUGGGACAGAGUGAAAAACAUUAGUGGUGUAAGAUGGACCCGCGUCUGAUUAGCUUGUUGGCGGGGUAACGGCCCACCAAGGCGACGAUCAGUAGCCGGCCUGAGAGGGUGGACGGCCACAUUGGGACUGAGACACGGCCCAAACUCCUACGGGAGGCAGCAGUGGGGGAUAUUGGACAAUGGGGGAAACCCUGAUCCAGCGACGCCGCGUGAGUGAAGAAGUAUUUCGGUAUGUAAAGCUCUAUCAGCAGGGAAGAAAGAAAUGACGGUACCUGAGUAAGAAGCCCCGGCUAACUACGUGCCAGCAGCCGCGGUAAUACGUAGGGGGCAAGCGUUAUCCGGAAUUACUGGGUGUAAAGGGAGCGUAGACGGUAAUGCAAGUCUGGAGUGAAAGGCGGGGGCCCAACCCCCGGACUGCUCUGGAAACUGUGUAACUGGAGUGCAGGAGAGGCAGGCGGAAUUCCUAGUGUAGCGGUGAAAUGCGUAGAUAUUAGGAGGAACACCAGUGGCGAAGGCGGCCUGCUGGA